rnacentral:rRNA from 1 species
UACAGAGGGUGCGAGCGUUAAUCGGAAUUACUGGGCGUAAAGCGUGCGUAGACGGUCAAGUAAGUCGGGUGUGAAAGCCCCGGGCUCAACCUGGGAAUUGCAUUCGAGACUGCGUGGCUAGGGUGCGGAAGAGGGAAGCGGAAUUUCCGGUGUAGCGGUGAAAUGCGUAGAGAUCGGGAGGAAUACCUGUGGCGAAGGCGGCCUACUGGGCCGGACCUGACGCUGAGACGCGAAGGCGUGGGGAGCGAACGGG